rnacentral:tRNA from 1 species
UUGUAGAUAGCUUAAUUAUCAAAGCUCUAGAUUCUUACUCUGGCGAUGUCCAUUGACUCUACAAA